rnacentral:rRNA from 1 species
CCUACGGGAGGCAGCAGUGGGGAAUAUUGGACAAUGGGCGAAAGCCUGAUCCAGCAAUGCCGCGUGAGUGAUGAAGGCCUUAGGGUUGUAAAGCUCUUUUACCCGGGAUAAUAAUGACAGUACCGGGAGAAUAAGCUCCGGCUAACUCCGUGCCAGCAGCCGCGGUAAU